rnacentral:misc_RNA from 1 species
GGAGGAUAAAUCUGCCCAAUUAUAUCAAACAUCAAUCUCGUACCAUACAGAAAUAUCAAUCUGUCAAUCUCAUACUGAUACCAACAUUCUACCAAAUAUCAAUCUCAUACCAUACAGAUAUCUACACUAAUUGAGAUUCAAAUCAGUCAUGGUGCAUGUUCUUGUAUGAUUGUUUCAGAAAGGCUGAAUUCCUCGCAGAAAGUUCAUUUUGGCUAGCCAACUAGCCAUGCAAUUGAAGAAAAUAUAAAAUUCCAAAUUUGCAAUGUUAAGGUCAAUAUGCACAGAUAAGGCUUUCCUUUAUAGUCACCAGGAUCACACCUGAGUUUUGAGUUAUUUUCCUAGUAAUAUCUCUCAUCAACAUACAAAAAUGCUUAGUUCUAU